GCAGGGACGGACCAGGCUCCUUUGGGGUUCUGAGCAUUGCCAUGAAGCUUCAGCCUUAGCAGCAGCUGCCAUGCCCAUUGACUAAAGGAAGCUUCAGGGGACACGCCCAGACGAAGAACACUGGCGAGGUAUGACACCUGGUGGGAGAAGGUAAGAGAGAGAAAGAUGGAACAAAAGGCAGAGUUCUAUCUCUCGAUUUGAUGAUUCCAUGAGCAGAGAGUGGAUGUAUCACCUGUUUGAUUCCCUCUGAUAUGAGGCCACUGUACGGUUUGUCAGUGAGGUACUUCUGAUAGGCUUCAGCCACCAGCAGAGCCACUUCACUGUGAAGAGAUGAAGGCAGGGCCAAGGAGCCAUCCUGAAAGAACCCCAAUCCAGACCCUCCAGGAUGACACACGCUAGACGGUUCUCCACAGCAGAGAGAGGAUGCUGGAGCAGCCAGGCUCCAAUCACACAUAUCUCCUCUGGACGUGGCUGCCACAGACUCAGAGGCAGCUCUUUGCACAAGUACAGAGCCACCUAAAGAAACACACAUAUGUGAACACAGCCCGAGGAAUAAGGAAAUUAGAUAUUCUUCUUUCAGUUUGGUCAAAUGUGUGCAGUAAAAUGUUCAAGUCUCAAUACAUCAGCAAUACCAACCA